UUUGUACUACUGUUGAAGUUUGGUAUAAUUUCGGUCAUUAUUAGUGGGGUAAUUUACGAGAUACACACUUGGUUCCAAUAGCGCCUGCACUAAGCUAACCAGGUGAUGACACUAACUCGCCCAUUGUUAAACCCAGGUGAAAAAAGCUUCUGGGGGGUUGUUUGGCUCGAGGUCAUGAUGCACAGGACCCUAGGAUAAAAUUACUCCGAACCAUCACUUUAACAACUAUCAUAGAGUGCAUGG